AUGGACGCGCUCAUCUCGGCGGCGCUCGAGGAGGUGUGCGCCCGCCUCUCCUACGGAAUCCCCGUCACCGACCUCUGGCCGGCGCUACGCGGGGCGCUCGAGGCGGCCGGCCUCCCGCUCAGCCCCGCCGUCAAGCGCGUCCUGUGGGCUCGCCUUCUCGCGCUCCCCGUCAUCAGCCUCGUGGUGGGCGACGGGGAUGGAUCGCCCGUCGCGCCCGGCGACCCGGCGGAGAAGGACGUGGGGGAGGCAGAGCGGCGGGGCGUGCGGCUGGUGUCGAGCGCGCCGCUCAGGGACAACUUCCUUGGGAUGUAUGACCACAGGUUCGCUAAAUCGGAGCUGAGUGCCGUCCAGAAGGCCGCGCUAGAGCUUGUCGGGGCAAGCAGGACUGUUGGUGUAACACAGAAUGAUCUAUGCAAAAAAUUUCACAUGAAAGGAAACAACUUCCAUUUUAUCGUAAAAAGCCUUGUAUCACAGCGGCUGAUAGUUAGACAAUCAGCUCUCAUAAAGGUGAAAGACAAUGGGGCUGAGGGGGAAGAGAUUUCACAUAAUAAGCAGGUUAUUAACACCAACUCAUUAUAUCUGUCCCGAUAUGCCAAAGACAUGAAUAUGAAUUCACAACAAAGAAUUGAGAUUACAAAACCUGAACUACUGGGGAGCAAUGAAGAGACCAACAUUGCUUUGCAAGAAGAUGGAGCUUUGGCUGUAAACUUGAAGAAUGACAUAUCUGUUCAUGAUUAUCUUCCAGCAAUGGAAGCCAUAUGUGAAAAACUUGAAAAUGCCAGUGGAAAGGCUCUUGUUGUAUCAGAUAUAAAAGUUGAUCUGGAUUACAAGAUGGCAUAUGGACACAGAGCAUGGAGAAAUGUAUUGCAUAGGCUAAGAGAUGCACAGCUUGUUGAAGAAUUCGAUGCCAAAGUUGAUGAUAAGGUUGUUCGCUGUUUACGAUUGCUGAAGAAAUUUGAUCCAGUUGAGUUCCAGUCGAAAAGUACAACCCAAGACUACAAAAUUGGCGAGAAACGCCAGGCAACUGAUCAAGUUAUGGAGCUUCCAUUAGAGAACUGUAUAUAUGAUAUGAUCAAAGCUGAAGGGUCAAAAGGUAUAACCCUUGUCGAGCUUGGCAAACGUCUUGGGCAUAAGAAUUCAAGAAGGCUUCAUAAAAGAGUGUCAUCCAUGCGCCAAAGAUUCAAUUUGACUUGGGAUGCUGAAGUUUCAGAUAAGACAUCUCAGUACCGAGUUUGGACUUCAAAAGAAUUUUUGCACUACAAAUCUGGUACUGCUCUGCAAAGUUUUGAGGCACUCCCAGGUGACCAUGUCAAGCGUUCCGAUUCGUGGUCACUAGUUCCAUCUAGUGGAUUGGAUUCACAUAGCUCUCAUGGCAACAAUAAUGAACUCUUGUAUGAAGCGGAAUGCCAUGAUGAGCCAGUUGGACAUUCUCUCCAAAGCAGCCAUGAAGCUUGUGUUGGAGUUUCCCAACUAGUUAAACAAGAUAAACUUGCUUUGGGUCGGAAGAAGCAUCGGUGCCCCCCUUCAACUUCUGAUGAUCGACGACAGAGAAGGAUUCUACACAUGUUGAAGAAAAAGAAAUUUGUGCUAAAGGUGGAGUUACAUAAAUGGUUAGAGAGACUUGAGAAGGAAAAUGGAAAAAUGAUGGAUAGGAAAACAUUGGCUCGCACGUUGAAUAAGCUUCAGCAAGAGGGCAGCUGUAAAUGUAUCAAAGUCAGUGUCCCUUUGGUUACAAACUACACCCGCAAUCGUCUCAUUGAUGUAAUACUGCAUUCUUCUGUUGGGGACUUAUCACCAGAACUUGUUGAUCAAAUUAGGAUGAGGCAGCGGAACUUUGACACUGAAACUCGUUCUGGUGCAGCAGCUAAACUGAAGCAAAAUCAACAUAAGACAGCCAUACCUGGUCUGAGGAUUUCACGCAGAGUUAAAGAUAACAAACCGUUAAUAAUAGAAGCCAUGCAUGCCAAUGGAUUUAUAGGUGCAAAAAUGAUCCGGGUGAAGCUGUUCCAUAAAUUUCUGUGGGUAUAUGUUAGUUGUUUGCCAGGUUGCUGCAUACCAGCUGGUUAUGCCGAAGAAGGGCAGCAUGCCAAGGACCUUAAUCAAUCAUCUCCGUUAUUUUCGAUGGCAGCAGCUAUAAAUGAAAUGCCUGUCGAACUCUUUCUACAAGUUGUGGGAUCAGCCAAGAAGAUCGAUAACAUGAUAACUAAGGUGCUUUCAGAACUUCCUACCGAGGAAUACAACCAGCUCAUGGACACUCAUGCUAAGGGACGACUCUCACGCUUAAUAAAUAUUUUAGAUAAGCUCAAGUUGCUCCAACUUGCAAAUGAACUUGUAGAUGAGUCAGGUGUACCAUCAGAUGCUGCGCCUACACAUUCAAUGGAGCUCAGGCCUUAUAUUGAAGAACCAAUACGAAGAAUUCUUCCAUCAUCACAUGUUAAUUUGAAUCAUCGUCCAAAAAUUCGGCAUGAUUUUGUGCUUUCAAAGCAGGAGUUUGUUGAUGCUUACUGGGAAACAUUAGAGUACUGCUAUCUGACAGCUGGCUUGACUGAGCCGUUAAGUGCCUUCCCUGGCUGUGCUGUACCUGAGGUUUCUCAUCCUCGUUCGUGGAGUUCUCGUAGAGUAAUGACUAUUGAACAACGGCGGGAGUUACAAAAGCGUAUUAGAAAAAUCAGUGAGGAGGGGAGAAUUCCUUUCAAAGAUUGUCUUGUAAUCGCAAAAGAGUUGAAUCUCUCUCUAGAGCAGGUGCUUUGUGUUUCGUACUCUCAGAAUAGACAGCUCAGCUUUCCUACACAAAAGCAGCAACGAGCUAGUUCUGGAUCAAUCUGUCAGAAAAGGAAAAGAUCUGCUAAUAAGGUUACCCUACGGUUUAUUAAACAAAAAGUUGAAGCCAGUGGAUCCUCUGGAAAGAUAUCAACCCAGUCUACCCUGGAUGAGAGAUUACCAGGGAGCAUUUAUGCAUCAUCCACUGGUAAAAAGUUCGUGUGGACAUAUGAAUCUGACAGAAAACUGCUGAUGAUCUACACUAGAUUUUGUGCAGCACGGGGACCCAAAUGUCAAUGGAACUCUCUCUCUGGUCUUCCAGCUGCACCACCUACAUGUCGUAGAAGGAUGGCAUAUUUAAAUAAAAACGUAAAUAUAAGAAAAGCUGUUGUCCGAAUCUGUAGCCUUCUCAGAGAGGAAAGGAGAUCGAAAGAGAGGGAAUCCCAUUCUCAUAUGUCAAAUUCUAGUCAUGAGAACUGUGUGGAUUCAGAUUCUGAGAUAUUCAAUUGGGAUUAUUUUGAAGAUCCAGAAAUAAAAAAUGCACUUGAUGAAGUCCUUGAAUUCAUCCGAGUAGAAAACGUGAACCAGACCAGGAAAGUUGAGCCUAAUAAUGCAAAGUGCAACAAUGAUAAUAAUGCCAAUGAGGAAAUUCCAAGUGGGCAGAAAGAGCAGGUUAUGCAAGGUGUUACCAGUACAAGCACUGCAGUUCCAGAAACUGGAUCACGUGAGCUUGCAGAAUUGCCUAGACAAUCAAAUGCACCCCAUGCUAGUAACAGUGUGGACGGUCCCUGUGCAUCUGAUGAAAACAUCAUUAAGGUCAACAAAGAUGAAACUACUAGAAGAUAUGGAUGCAAAUCUUUAGCAGUUGCCAAUGCGAUAGAGCUUCUGAAGUUGGUUUUUCUCAGCACAUCAUCAGGAUCAGAAGUACAGGCUUCAUUAGCUACAACCCUCCAGCUGUAUUCACAGAGCGAAAUUGUGGCUGCCUUUUCCUUUCUUAGUGAGAAGAAGUUCACGGUUAGUGGACAUGGAACAAAGCCAUACACCCUUUCUAGAAAAUUCUUCUUCAAGGCUUCUCAUUCACCCUUCCCAUUUGGUUCUGGAAAAAAGGCUUCUGAAUUUUCCAACUGGCUUAUAGGGCAGCAAAGGAACACUGCAGGAAAUAGACUUUAUUUGUAUCCAGAUGUAGAAUGUGGAGAAAUUGUUUAUCUCUUUUCGCUGGUUUCGUCUGGAGAGUUGUUCAUUUCACCUUCCUUGCCAAGCGAAGGAGUUGGUGAUGCUGAUGGGCCUAAUAGUUCCAGCCCUUUGGUUGAAGAUACCAGUGGACUAAAUGAUGGUACUCACAAACGCAAGGCUGAUACGGUGGAACAGGAAAGCAGUGCGGCUAAGAAAAACAAACUUUGCUACCGCCGUGAGAAAGGUUUCCCUGGUAUCCAAGUUGCUCUGAAUCAGGACAGAAUUCAAACAAACUAUCUCACGCAGGAGUUACAUGAUAAAGAGUGCCUUAUUUUUAGUUUAGCCCAGGAAAUGAGCAUGAGGGAUGUUGAUUCACAGGUUGAAAGCCCCGACACGUCACUGUAUUUAAACAACUCCAGUUCAUGUCGACAUAUGCUGUCUGAAUCUCAUUUGGAAAGCUCUUAUAAUGGAUGGCCUUGGGAUGCUAUGAAAAUAUAUGCAGACCAGUUACCAUCAUUAUCUUGUAAUCAAAAUGAAUUAUCCAUAUUGUCUUCUGAUCUGUUCAGAAACGCAUUUUAUGUUAUUUAUCAAGGUGGCGAAGGAGGAGUUAAUUUGAGAGAAUUGUCACAGAAACUGCAUCCAUUAGGCACACAGUUAGUUGAUGUGAUUGUUCAUACACUCAAGAGAUUUCAUCUGGCCAUGGAGGUCAAUGCGUACGAUGGUUUCCAGAUCGUUGACUCAUUACAUAAGUCAAAGUAUCAUAUAACCACACUUGCAGAAUACAGCCAUUGCAGCUGUUCACAAGCUCGAGGUUCUCAAAUAAUGGAGACUGGAGGCACAGAAAAUGUAUUGAAAGAGAAGCAUGCCAUGUCUAGUAAGCAGGGAACUGUAAAAAAACUUGGUGAUGGGCACACAGUCACAAUUCUUAGUGGUGAAAGCAAGUCAAAUUCAUCUCAUAUGUGCAGUCAAAAUUGUGGAGAUAAGGAAAUAGUGUCUACUCCAUCACAAGACAACAGGGAGAGUGAUUGCUGCCAUGCUUGUGAAAGGCAUAUUUAUCACCCUAUAUUGCCAUGGAUAAAUGGUGAUGGCAGCAUCAAUAGUACCGUCUAUGAAGGUUUAACUCGUCGAAUUAUUGGCUAUGUGAUGCAAUAUCCAGGAACAGUAGAGGAGGAUGUUAUCCACAAGAUGGAUGUAUUGAAUCCUCAGACAUGCAGGACCUUGUUGGAGAAGCUGACACUUGAUAAACACCUCUAUGUUCGGGUGUUCGAAGAACCUGUGCCUACGGCUCCCACCAUAUUGCAGAGUCUUUUCAGUCGGGACACCUGUACACAACCAUGCAAGCGUAGAAGGCGUUACUUCUCUAACUCAACGAGCACAUUCAUGUUAUAA
rnacentral:rRNA from 1 species